GAUUUUCAAGUUUUUGUGCUUAUAAGAAAAUAAUAUUAGUUUUAUGUUAAAUGUUAAAGUAAUAUGUCAAGUUACUUCCUUUAUUUUUAGUUUACUUUAACUAAUAUGUAACUAUUUUUUUAUUUUGAAUGAUUUUUUUUGUUGAAAAUAAUGAUAUUUUAGAAACUAGUAAGCUUUUUUAUUGAUUUUUCAUAUUUUGACUGGUG
rnacentral:lncRNA from 1 species